GGGGAAUAUUGCACAAUGGGGGAAACCCUGAUGCAGCGACGCCGCGUGAGCGAAGAAGGCCUUCGGGUCGUAAAGCUCUGUCCUAAGGGAAGAAACGGACGGUACCUUAGGAGGAAGCCCCGGCUAACUACGUGCCAGCAGCCGCGGUAAUACGUAGGGGGCGAGCGUUAUCCGGAAUUACUGGGCGUAAAGGGUGCGUAGGCGGCCUUUUAAGUCAGAUGUGAAAGGCUACGGCUUAACCGUAGUUAGCAUUUGAAACUAGAAGGCUUGAGUGCAGGAGAGGAGAGUGGAAUUCCUAGUGUAGCGGUGAAAUGCGUAGAUAUUAGGAGGAACACCAGUGGCGAAGGCGACUCUCUGGACUGCAACUGACGCUGAGGCACGAAAGCGUGGGGAGCAAAC
rnacentral:rRNA from 1 species